AAAUUGAAGGCUGACUGACUUGAGCAGUUUUGACUCGCCUGAAUGAUUUACAGAUUUGCUUGGAGGUUUCAUUCUUAUACAAUACUUGGCUUUUUAAAAUUUCUGUGAUUAGUCGCUCACUGGCUGCACAUAAAAAUACCAGGAUAUACAAAUGUAACUUCUUUUUUUGGUUUUGGAAAAUGCAUUAUUUUGUUCAGUGAUUUUUGGUCCUCAUCAUCUCUUCCUUGCAUCUCCUUCUUGGCCUUGUUUUUGUAGCCAAAGAAGGCUGAUACCUUCAACAGUGUCUUAUGAGCUAUUGUU
rnacentral:misc_RNA from 1 species